rnacentral:rRNA from 1 species
GAUGAACGCUGGCGGCGUGCCUAAUACAUGUAAGUCGAGCGAACGGACGAGAAGCUUGCUUUUCUGAUGUUAGCGGCGGACGGGUGAGUAACACGUGGAUAACCUACCUAUAAGACUGGGAUAACUUCGGGAAACCGGAGCUAAUACCGGAUAAUAUUUUGAACCGCAUGGUUCAAAAGUGAAAGACGGUCUUGCUGUCACUUAUAGAUGGAUCCGCGCUGCAUUAGCUAGUUGGUAAGGUAACGGCUUACCAAGGCAACGAUGCAUAGCCGACCUGAGAGGGUGAUCGGCCACACUGGAACUGAGACACGGUCCAGACUCCUACGGGAGGCAGCAGUAGGGAAUCUUCCGCAAUGGGCGAAAGCCUGACGGAGCAACGCCGCGUGAGUGAUGAAGGUCUUCGGAUCGUAAAACUCUGUUAUUAGGGAAGAACAUAUGUGUAAGUAACUGUGCACAUCUUGACGGUACCUAAUCAGAAAGCCACGGCUAACUACGU